AGCGUAGACGGAUUAGCAAGUCUGAUGUGAAAGGCAGGGGCUCAACCCCUGGACUGCAUUGGAAACUGCCAGUCUUGAGUGCCGGAGAGGUAAGCGGAAUUCCUAGUGUAGCGGUGAAAUGCGUAGAUAUUAGGAGGAACAUCAGUGGCGAAGGCGGCUUACUGGACGGCAACUGACGUUGAGGCUCGAAAGCGUGGGAGCAAACA
rnacentral:rRNA from 1 species